GCGCGAGUGGUGGAAUUGGUAGACUCGCAAGAUUCAGGUUCUUGUGUGCAAUACGCACGUGGGGGUUCAAGUCCCCCCUCGCGCACCA
rnacentral:tRNA from 1 species